rnacentral:rRNA from 1 species
AUUCAACGCUGGCGGCAGGCCCAACACAUGCAAGUCGAGCGGAUGAAGGGAGCUUGCUCCUGGAUUCAGCGGCGGACGGGUGAGUAAUGCCUAGGAAUCUGCCUGGUAGUGGGGGAUAACAUCCGGAAACGGGCGCUAAUACCGCAUACGUCCUGAGGGAGAAAGUGGGGGAUCUUCGGACCUCACGCUAUCAGAUGAGCCUAGGUCGGAUUAGCUAGUUGGUGGGGUAAAGGCCUACCAAGGCGACGAUCCGUAACUGGUCUGAGAGGAUGAUCAGUCACACUGGAACUGAGACACGGUCCAGACUCCUACGGGAGGCAGCAGUGGGGAAUAUUGGACAAUGGGCGAAAGCCUGAUCCAGCCAUGCCGCGUGUGUGAAGAAGGUCUUCGGAUUGUAAAGCACUUUAAGUUGGGAGGAAGGGCAGUAAGUUAAUACCUUGCUGUUUUGACGUUACCAACAGAAUAAGCACCGGCUAACUUCGUG